GGCGAGACUGCCUCACCUCUGUCGAGAAAAGAAGCAAAAAACACUGAAUGGGAAAGCUAGUGCUGGGAAGCAACAAACGAGUGUCGUGCAGCGUCGAGGUCGAAGAUGGCGCCGUUGAUAAAGUUUGGUGUGUUUUUCAGCAGUAAUGGGACACGUUUUCUGCAAUAGGAAUGGAAUAUGUGGUUCCGUCAAUUAUUGCGACGUAAUCACUGUUGUCUUGCAAGUCGCCAGAAGUAAGGACAUAUUGUGGACCUGUGAAUCCUGAAGGGGCAGACGGAGCAACUCGACAAGUUUGUGGUGUGCAGAUUUGAUACGCCAAGUGGCCGUAGUGGAGCUGCAGUCAAUUGUUUUAGCAAAAUGGACGAUAUGAAGAAGCGUGCACAAGUAGUAUGGUGGUAUGCAGAGACAAAAUCGGCGACCGAAGUUGCAAAGAAACUUUCGUCGAGUUUACAACAAAGGGCCCCCGUUGUUGAAGACUAUAAAGAAGUGGUGUGAUCAGUUUUUGGCUACUGGGAGUGUUGCAAAAGGGCGUGGUGGUGGUAAGCCUGGGAUCGGCGAUCAUCAUGUGGAACAAGUGCGGCGGUCAUUCCGAAAGUUAAUGUGUGGUGUGGUUUGAUGAUAAAUCACAUUGUUGGGCCGUUUUUCUUUCAGGAGCCGACUGUGGAUGGAGCCAUCUACCUGGACAUGUUAGAACAUUUUGCCAUGGCACGGAUAACAGACCUGCAGCCAGAUAUGAUGUUUCAACAGGACAGUGCACCACCCCAUUCGAGCCUUGAUGUCCGAAAAUUUUUAAAUGACACAUUCCCGCAACGAUGGAUUGGCCGUGGAGGUCCAACUCCUUGGUCGCCACGUUCGCCCGACAUAACCCCUCUCAAUUUUUUCUUGUGGGGUUAUGUGAAAGACCGGGUACACGCUACACCAGUAAAGGACCUGCAAGACUUGAAACAGCGCAUAAGAAUUGUCAUCAACUCGGUCACAGAACAGAUGCUCCGCAACACAUGGCACGAAAUCGAUUAUAGACUUGAUAUUCUUCGCGCUACCUGUGGUGCCCAUGUUAAAUUGUACUGAACCAUCCACUUGUGUAUGAAAACUUGAUGAGCUGCUGUAUGAUUUCCCUGUAUUUGUUCGUCAAUAAAUUGUGUUUUUACUCUGA